rnacentral:miRNA from 1 species
AGCUGCCGAUUCAUUCAUUCA